CCGAGAUCACCCGAAGAGCGAGCGAGGCUCACGUUUUGUGUCUUUGCAGGAGCCCGGGGCUGGGCACAGAACUGCAGCGCCGGAGAAAGUUUCCUGGGAAGGAGCCUCGCCGGGGGGAUCUUAUUUGCCCUCCGGGCUGCUGGUGAGUAAGGGGGCUGCGCAGCAGAGGUCCCCGCCCCCGCCCGCUUUGAUUCCUGCCCCUCUGCGCAGAGCUGGGCGUAGGGCUGGUGUCAAGUGAACUUGAAAAGCUGAUUUGCAGGCAAACCUGCCGCGGUGGGUUUCUUCCGCGGCGCUCGGAGAUGGAAGGGGGGGGGGUCUCGGCCACGGGGAAGUUUUUGCAGCGGAAUGAAUCCGGAUUCAACUUUGGGACCAUGCUGCUGAUUGGGCUCGUGUGAGCAGCUCCUGAGCUAAGGACACAGUCACUCCCUUUCCACGCGCUGGGCAUGUUUGUGCUGCUGGACCCUCAAACCGCUUCGAUCCUUUUAAUCUAAUUCAACCGAAGCAGCCAGGAGCACCGGGAACGUUUGACAUUGGGCUGAGUUGUGGAGUCUGCCCCCCACCCCAUCAGCACCCCCCAAAAAAGGGCGGAAGGAGGAGGUUUUGCAGGGGGCUGCGGGGGUGCCCGGCUCCAGACUCGGCUUCGCCUCUGGCAAUGGAUUACCUGGAAGUGUGGCUCCGGGUCGCGCUCCUCUUUGCGGGAUUUGCCGUAUUGCCCCAGCAGCAGGCGGAAGGUGCUUGUGUCUACCAAGGCUCAUUGUUUGAGAUCCUGAAAACACAAAAAGAAGUAUUCAGUUUUCACGGCAAACACCCAAGAGGGAACCCUAAAGGUUGUCUGGAAAAGUGGAUUGGAAAGUGAACAUGAGCUCCUGCCUCACACCAGAUGGAAUCAAAGCAUAAGAAGAGACAGAUGGACCUUGUAAAUCAUUGCCUAGCACCUCCGUAUCUUCUGGCCCAGAACAAUCUCAAACCAAGAUCUGUUGACACAGUGCAGCCAAGAGGAUCUGAGCACCAUCAUUGCCAGGAGGCGUUGGAGAUGGAUUGGUCAUGUGCUUCGGAUGGAAACUGAUUCCAUCACCAGAGUAGCAAUAAGAUGGACACCUGAAGGUAAGCAAAAACAACAUGGCGAAGAGCUGUGGAAGCCAAGCUGAAAAACCUGGAGCACAGAUGGGGAACCAUUGAAAGACUUGCCAGAAACAGACAGGAGUGGAGGAGCUUUGUCACUGCCCUAAACGCCAGAGGCGUAAUAGGAACAUGAUGAUGAUGAUAGCACAGUGGGGUGUAAUCUUGAUUGAGGUCGCUGGGUACUAUUGCAAUUUUUUAAUAAAUAAUAAUAAUAAAAUAAUAGUAACAAUACAUGUUUAACCAGUAGGUGCCGCUGUUAUACAAAGCCAUGUAAUCAGAAUUAAGGCCUAACCGAACUCCUAGGAUACUAAAUUAUUAAGUUUCAGAGUGGUGGCCGUGUUAGUCUGUAUCAGCAAAAACAACGAGGAGUCCUUGUCGCACCUUAGAGACUAACAAAAACGAUGCGGUGGAAUUAAACUGAUUUAAUAUUGGACUUUCCCCACCAAUAAUGAAAGUCUAUAUGAAAAUAUUUUGUUUACGUGAAGUUUUACCUGCAACAUUCUAACUUUAUUUUCUAGAUUAUUUUCAGCAUUUAAAACCACGCCCCAAAAUUUUAGGUUUUUCCUAAGGUUCCGAUACCUGCCCUGCUUGAAAUGUAAGCUAGCAAGGCAUUCCACUAAGUGGCAGGGUAGAAAUAUUUCUGUAAAGGCUCUAUAACUGGAGAAUGACAUUAUAUGCAUGCAGGAUAGGAUGGUACGGUGUUCUCUGGCUCACAUACUGCUGCUUACUACCAAUGACCCUUCUGCUGGUCUCUGCAGAGCAGGACAGGACAAGUAAAAGGUGGCAUGGGAAAGCCCUGUAUACUCCUCUAGGUUCCCAUCCCUUCUAAAUCCACAGAAAAAGGCUGCAUUAAUGUGCCAUACUUCCCAUUCUGUGCUUAGAGCCACGUUUAGGGGGUUAUGGGGGCCAUACUCUAGGGGCCAUUGAAAGUUGGUUGUGCUGGGUGAUACAAUUUUCUGUGUUACUUUAAUUUCUCUUUCUUUCGAAGAAAAUACUUGUGAUGUUAAAACUGUUAUCAAAAUCUAAAACAAUUACAUUUAAAAUGAAGGCUAACAGGCUUUUGGGGAGAUAGUUAACAGCACAGUGUAGGAAAAAGGUAUAGAGCACACCUUAUCCAGGAGUAUUUAACUUUGAAAACACUGCAUGAAAUGAAGAAAAUUAAAAAAAGCUGCCCUCAGACACAACUGUGUGACCAGCUCUGCUGAGACCAAUGGGAACACCGCAUGCAUAUCUCAGGGUAAAAGCCUGCAGUAGAUAAUAAUGCAUUGCCUAAUUCUAUUUAUUGAAGUUAUUUGUCAUGAAAAGUUAGUAAAAGCAAAGACUCUUCAGUCAUUUCCAUUUGCCUGUAAUGAACAGCAAUUCAGAUCAAGUUAUUUUACCUCUUCAGGACAUCAGCUGAAUCGUCUAAUUCCUCAAACUCCAUGUGAAACACACUAGAAAAUGAAUCCUAUAAAUACAAAAAGGAUUCUUAUUGGAUGGAAACUAGUAAUAUUCGUAAUCCUGAUUAACAGUAACAAUAGUAAUAAGGAGAAAGUCAGCUGCAAUUAUUUACACAGAGUCUGCUUUAAGGGGGAAAGAAAGAAAUCCUUGUAUUUUACACUCCCUCCCCCCAACCACCCCAUGGCAAUUCUGGCCAGAACAGGGAAAUAUAACCUCCCUGUGUCACUGAAAUCCCUUGCAUCUCCAGGGAGCAUUCACCCCAAGUGAGGGCAGGCAUGUUCACAAAUAGCUCUGGAGCUAACUGUUAGCAAAGAGUCUAUUUUAACAUUUACAAUUCCAGACUAAGAGUGUAUUUGCAAUCAACCUCAGUCAUGUCACUUUGCUUAGAUGUAGAGAGUCCCAGGAGCAAUAAUAAGCCUUAAAUGUAUUGCUAGAUCUCCUUAUGGCUUCUUAUCACUGUAGUAUCUGAGCAUUUUGCAAACACCAAUGAAUUUAUCCUCACAUACCCCUGUGAGGCAGGGAAUUAUCAUUAUCGCCAUUGUAUAGAUGAGAAAUUGAGGCACAGAGAGGAACUGGGCCAGACCUUGGGUUUUGGCUAAAUUGCACAGAGCACAGAUCAGAGAGAGUGUGUGUGAGUGCAUAUGCAAAUGGGAGCAUAGGUCACAUAAAUCUAUCUUUUGCUUUCCUGUGAUGCUAGUACUGCUCUGCAGGGCAGUUUCUCCUGAGCUUUAUUCAAGGGAUGCUCUAAUUUAUGUUGGGCUGCAAUGGCCCCAAAGGGCCCAAAGUGAAGCCAAGGUCUCAUUUAGAGCAGGUGGUCUUGGCCACGUCAUUCUUCCUCCGGCCACUCCCCUUUUCCCUGCUACACCAGCCACAGAGCGAGUGAGUGAUGUAACAGCCCAUGUCAGCUCUCUAUCAUGGGAGAAGUAUACUACCCUUGGAGGUGAUCCUCUCUGGGAUGGUUCAGAUGACCUUAGGGACAGAUUACACCACCCGGCAGUGCAAAAUGGCUGCACCAAACCACACAAUCUGACCCAGAGAGAGGUCAUGCCUCGAAGAACUGACAUCCAAACUGAAAGGAUGUCGUACAAACAGAGGUGAGGAGGCAUGAGAAUGGGAGAAGAAAAUGUUGGAGUGGAUCAGAGAUGGAAGGCUAGUAAAAGAAGUGUGGACAGAAGGAAUCUGCUACUGUGAGCAAAAGAGUACACUGCAACCAUUGUCUUUCUGUCUUCCCUCUUCUUUACAGUGGAGGCCUGAUUCUCCAGUUCCUUGCACUUACAUAGUAAUUUAAAUUGUGCAAAGUGGGUGCAAAAUGUGACCAAAUCAAAAUGGAGGAAGGAAAUAGAGAAGCUGACCCAAGGGGCCUCUAAAGAACGAGAGCACUACUCCCUUUAAACUAAGUCACACUUGAUACUCACAGUGCA